CCUGGCUCUGCCUGGUCAUCUCCAGCCAGGCAGGGAAAGGGCUUCCCGGGGUCGGGAGCAAGUUGUUGGGGUCUCUGAUGCCCUGGGCCCCACCUGCCUGCCAUGAGGGGGCCUCCCUGCAUACCGCGGCCCAGCCAUGGCACCGGUCUGAAGGAUCCGCUGGGCAGCACGGGGCAUCUGAGGAAUUAGCCCAGGGAAUGAAGAAAGAUGAUGGCGUGGGAUUCCAGGCAGAGGAAAUAGCUUGAGCAAAUUGCAGAGGCAAGAAACAGGAGACGUUCGCUCCGGCGAUGCAUUUGUACGGAAAGAUUCCGGAGCAACAGGAAACGCAGAAGACUAAACCACGUGGGGAGAAAACUCUUCCUGGUUUCUGAGCAAAUUUUCUCAAAGGGGUUUGAUGCUCUGAAAAUGCCAGUCCAUGCCAGGAUUUGCCUCCGAAACGCUGAAAUCCUAUGCGGCAAGAGAAGGUUCCUGUCCGCGACUGUUCUAUUAUACCACACCAUGGUCAGCUCUUGUGUUUUCUGCACACUUUAUUCAACAGGAGGAUUAAUGCAGAAGCUCCUAUUAAUACUGAAUCUGUUUCCUGGCUCCUUCCUCCUUCCUCUGCAAGCUGCACAUCCGCCCUGCUUGGGGAGUCACUGUGUGAGGCAGAGAGAAGCGUUCUGUGACACCAGUCCCAGCUGGUGCGUGCCAUACUGGAAAAAGCACUUAAUUAAUGACUGUCUUUCGUUUGCUCUGGAUUGCAGCUUUGUAUUAAAACACAAACACAUCAUGUAAAUGAGCAAAACAAAACAACUAAAGUUAAGCAAUCAAGCGGGUCAUUUUUUACCUAGCUUUAAAAACAUUCUGUGAAUUCCCGUUAAAUUAUACUGAUUUAGGAUUUUUAAACUCUUUUGAAAAUGAAAUACAUACAUGUUGUCCCAUUCCUCAUGAAUGAUCAGCAAUGAGCCUGCCUCGAGUAGUUCAGAAUGCAUGCCCUUUUUUUAUUAGCUACUUUAGGAUUGCUUUAGUUUCAACUCCGAAGAUUAAAAAUAAUAAACUAAUAAAAAUGUAAUGAGAUGCUACAGCCAUUGUUUUAUUACAGUAAUUUCUUUUCUUUUUCUUGUAAUGGAGCUUCUUAAAUAAUCCUUCUGACAAUGUAAAAAUUUAAAAGAUGAUAUACUUUUAUUAUUAUAACUGCUUAAGGACAAAAGAAUAAUUCAUACGUUUAAUGUUUCUUGUCAAAGCCUCAUCAUACCUAAAAGAAGAUAAAUACACUAUAAUAAAUUAUCAUUGCCAAAGGAUAGGUAUUUAAUAAAUAUGUAUUGAUAAGGAUCACAAUUUCUAUAUCACCAAGAACUCUGAAAGAUAUUAUAAGUCUUGUUUAAAAAAUAUUCUCACUUUGAAUUCUAUAUUUUUCCAAUUCCUUGGCAUGACAAUAAAGGGGCAAACAUUGGCAGACAUUGUUGGAAUAGUAGGCCACGAUGGGAAGGCGUUCUUUCAAUACGUUUUUAUGUUAUGCCCAGGGUGGUGCCAUGAUUGUUUCCAUAGGAACAGGAAUUUCUUUAAAGCAGAAAGGAAUGCUAAGAGAAAAAAAAGCACAUGGGGAAAUAAUAAUUAUACAAAAUAUUAGUUCAUGCCUGUGGAGUAUUCAUUGCAUUAUUCAUAUCCAUCAAAGAAAUAAUAACUAAACUGAGAGCAUUCAAAAGAAAAUUGCUCAACGCUCUUUCCAUUAAAUGGAUUGGUCGCUUUGCAGCUUCUGUCUGUUCUAAAAAUGCCCUGUAAUGAUGGAGUUGAUU